rnacentral:lncRNA from 1 species
CCGGGCGCGCCUGACACUAAUAGCUCGCGGCUCAGGUACGAGCGGGCGCCGCGUUUGACUCCAUUCAAUUCACAACCGGCCGCGCUUGCAGGUGUCGCCUUUUGAAACUGCCAUUCAGGCAGCCGCUGUUCACUUCUCGCUGCGCUGCGGGUUUUGUGGAAGCGCAAGAAUGGCGCUGAUUAUUCCCGUGCCCACGGGCUGCCCCCACCCCCGCCGGACGCGAGCCUUCCCUCCGCCAAAAGAGAAGUUUAAUUAGUUCUGGGGCCGCCGACAGCCAGCGCGGCCGACAAAGCCCGGCUCCCCAGGUAACCCCGGGGUUCCUGCGGCCCCGGGAGGGGGCGCCCCGCGCCUGAGCACUGGCCUCUGGCCGUGCGCUGCCUCCCGCGCCGCCGCCGUCCGCCCACCUGCCCCCCGGGCCGGCUCUCCAGCUGGCCGAAGGCUCGCUCGGUGGACUUGAGUAGCCUUGGCCAGCGGCGCCCGCGGAUUCCGGACGCGAGCAGUUUUAGGGCGCCUGCGAUGUCUUCUCGCCUCUCUGUCCCCAUUACCAGCCGGGGAGAUGGAAACUUGGUUGGCAAGUCAGGUGGUCCUAACUGUCUUGCGAGGGGGUGUCCUCUCCAUGACAUGUCAUCCCCUCACCCCAUUUCGGGGAAAUAUCGGGACGAUGUUUUGAGGAAACACCAGAGACACUUUCCCCUUUAUCCACCUUUGCGUCUCAGCGCCACGUGCGCUAAAAGGGCGCAAAGUUGCCCUGGGAGAUGGCGAAUGGCUGCCUCGCCUCCACGGCCAGUGACCUUCGCAGCAGCGCCUCCGGCGCCCGAGCUGGCCCCGAAUACGCAGGUCUGCGGACAGCCUCGGCCUGGGUCGCAUACUCUAGUUCACCGGAGCCACAGGGCUGGUGAGAAGGGAGGAGUAAGAGAGGAAUUCCAGCUCUCGCCCUGCUCCUGCCUUCCAGGCCCUGGUGUUUGUUCAGCUAACCAGUGUCUCUGGAGAGGACGGUGCAAAUGA